rnacentral:rRNA from 1 species
UAGAGGAAGUAAAAGUCGUAACAAGGUUUCCGUAGGUGAACCUGCGGAAGGAUCAUUAGUGAUUGCCAUCUUGGCUUAAACUAUAUCCAUCUACACCUGUGAACCGUUUGAUUGAAUCUUCUGAUUCAAUUUUACAAACAUUGUGUAAUGAACGUCAUUAGAUCAUAACAAAAAAAAACUUUUAACAACGGAUCUCUUGGCUCUCGCAUCGAUGAAGAACGCAGCGAAAUGCGAUAAGUAAUGUGAAUUGCAGAAUUCAGUGAAUCAUCGAAUCUUUGAACGCAACUUGCGCUCUCUGGUAUUCCGGAGAGCAUGCCUGUUUGAGUGUCAUGAAAUCUCAACCAUUAGGGUUUCUUAAUGGCUUGGAUUUGGAGGUUGCCAUUCUAAAUGGCUCCUCUUAAAGGAGUUAGCAAGUUUUACUAUUGCUAUCUGGCGUAAUAAGUUUCGCUGGAAUGGUAUUGUGAAGCGUGCUUCUAAUCGUCUUCGGACAAUUACUUUGACUCUGGCCUCAAAUCAGGUAGGACUACCCGCUGAACUUAAGCAUAUCAAUAG